rnacentral:rRNA from 1 species
CCUACGGGUGUCAGCAGUGGGGAAUAUUGGACAAUGGGCGAAAGCCUGAUCCAGCCAUGCCGCGUGUGUGAAGAAGGCCUUCGGGUUGUAAAGCACUUUCAGUGGGGAAGAAAGCCUUGGGGCUAAUACCCUCGAGGAAGGACAUCACCCACAGAAGAAGCACCGGCUAACCCCGUGCCAGCAGCCGCGGUAAUACGGGAGGGUGCGAGCGUUAAUCGGAAUUACUGGGCGUAAAGCGCGCGUAGGCGGUCUGAUAAGCCGGUUGUGAAAGCCCCGGGCUCAACCUGGGAACGGCAUCCGGAACUGUCAGGCUAGAGUGCAGGAGAGGAAGGUAGAAUUCCCGGUGUAGCGGUGAAAUGCGUAGAGAUCGGGAGGAAUACCAGUGGCGAAGGCGGCCUUCUGGACUGACACUGACGCUGAGGUGCGAAAGCGUGGGUAGCAAACAGGAUUAGAUACCCCUGUAGUC